CCUACGGGGGGCUGCAGUGGGGAAUAUUGGACAAGGGGGGGAACCCUGAUCCAGCCAUGCCGCGUGUGUGAAGAAGGCCCUCGGGUUGUAAAGCACUUUCAGUGAGGAAGAACGCCUGGUGGUUAAUACCCAUCAGGAAAGACAUCACUCACAGAAGAAGCACCGGCUAACUCCGUGCCAGCAGCCGCGGUAAUACGGAGGGUGCGAGCGUUAAUCGGAAUUACUGGGCGUAAAGCGCGCGUAGGUGGCUUGAUAAGCCGGUUGUGAAAGCCCCGGGCUCAACCUGGGAACGGCAUCCGGAACUGUCAAGCUAGAGUGCAGGAGAGGAAGGUAGAAUCCCCGGUGUAGUGGUCAAAUGCGUAGAGAUCGGGAGGAAUACCAGUGGCGAAGGCGGCAUUCUGGACUGACACUGACACUGAGGUGCGAAAGCGUGGGUAGCAAACAGGAUUAGAUACCCCUGUAGUC
rnacentral:rRNA from 1 species